AUCGAUGCGCUUGUUCAUUUCCGGACCAAAAUGGUUUUUCCAAUCGCCCGUUUUGCCUGCGACAACAAAAGAACAGCAGUUAGUUAUGUGUUGAAUGUAUUUCCAUCCUUCUGUCUGUUUCAAGUUUUUCGUAGCUAAAAUUGCCGGGGCCGUGAAAUUUGUGAAAAUGCUGAUUUCUUCAGCCAACUGCCUAAGACCGCCUAACAUUCUUAUAUGUGCGAAGGACAAGGAAGCUUUCCAGCAUUACCGAGCACUCUUCGAGUCCAUACUAGAACCCGAUUGCUAUGCCCUUUAUCAACUCGAUGUGAUCUCGUUCCGUUCAAAAAAAGCAUGGUUGGGGAACACGAGCCUUUUAGUUCUGGCUUCCGAGUGGCCUAAUGACGAUUUACGCAUUCCCCUGGAAGAGUAUCUCGCCAAAGGUGGGCAAUGUCUAUCUUUACAUCCUUUCUAUCCAAAAUGGCUUACAGGAAGCCAACUGCAAGGCUUUGUGAAGUACGCAUCUGACCAAGGCAUGCUAAUCUCGCCUGUCGAGAAGCUUGAUUUUGCUGAAGCUCUUCCGCCUAUCCUAGAGCAAUAUUUCCGCCUUAAGUCACGAGUUUCUAAUCCGGAAGGGCCUCCCAAUGAAUCGCAGCAAAUAGUUGGCCAUCUAAUUGCUGAACCUUAUCACCAGGAAGCUUUUUUCCGUAACUUUGGCCGGCAAUCGGCUGAUAUGAUGACACUAGAAAUUAAAAAAUCAUUUUCCGUGAACAGUCAACAGCAGCCCGUUAUCGUGCACAGAAAUAUAAGCUCGAGGUUCAAUCAUCGUGACUAUUUUGAUACGCUGAAAACCAAAAUCCUGGGUCGAACUUGCCUGUAUUUCGACGUGGUUGGAUCAACCCACUCAGUUCUGGAGGGAAGUGACUCAUUUCCCGAUGGUUUGGUUGUGGUAGCACGGCGUCAGAAUCAAGGUCGAGGACGCAGUGGUAAUGUUUGGAUGAGUCCUGAAGGUUGCGCAAUGUUCUCUUUGCGGAUGCAGUUUUCCCUGCAAUCGGAACUUGGACGUCAUUUGUCUAUCUUUCAACACAUUGUAGCCCUGGCCACAGUGUUAGCGGCCAAAAAACUUCCACGCUGCCAGGAUUUGCCGUUGGGAAUCAAGUGGCCCAACGAUAUCUGCUAUCGAGAUGAGUCUGACGGAAAGAUCAUCAAAGUUGGUGGAAUUCUAGUAACCACUUCAAUAAUGGGUUCACAAGUCACUGCAAUGAUUGGCUGUGGAGUGAAUUUGAGCAAUCAACGACCAACAUUGUGCCUUAAUGAGCUCAUUCGCCAAGCAGGAGAAACUCGUCCGCUCUCACUAGAGCACUUUCUUGCUGCCGUCUUCAAUCAAUUAGAGGAGUUGGUUACUUUAAUAUCUUCUGGUCGACUGGAUCAAGUCUUGGCGUUUUAUCACCAACACUGGCUGCAUGGCAACGGAACCGAGGUGACUGUCCGAACGGCUAAUGAUGAAAUAGUACGUGCUCAGAUUAUGGGCAUCGACGAGUUUGGUUUCCUUCGUGUACAGCCCAGUGAGGGACCAAGCAUCACAGUGCACCCAGACGGCAAUUCAUUUGAUAUGCUAAGUGGAUUGAUAGCCCCCAAAACACAGAGAUAAACCAGCCUGUCCGAAAAGCGAGUACUCAUAUGUAAAUGAGGCUUUAGAAGAUCUCCAAGUAUACGUCUUUUCCGUCACUAAAAGCGGAGUAUUCGUAGGCGAUUGACAAAGGCUGAAUAUGGUCAUGAUGUACUGUAAAAGCAGGAGUUAACAGUGAUUGGCACUACACCCUGGCAGCUUCUAGUCGUAUAUAGAUUUUAAAAAAAUGAAUUAUAAAGUAUUUUCUAGGUGAACUAAAUGUGGAAUCGUGUAUUUUGCUUCAGCUCUUCAUAUCUCCAUAGAAAAGGACGGUUAAGAUUAAAGAAAAGACACGCGAUAGAAAGUUGAAAAAUUGAAUGACUGUUUCCUCAGUCAUGCAGACCAUGUACUUGAACGUGCUGUUAAUCCGGAAAAAAAAAAAAAAAUCAGAGGAAUCAUGUUUACUUGGAGCUGCAAUUGCCAUCAAAUUAAAGUUGCUCGAACGUAACCUCUGGAUUCGCCUCUACCUGGACUUGCGGAGGUCGCACGGUUGUAUGCUACAAAAUCUCUUUUCCAUUAGGCCAGUCGCUUAGUAACGUUGAAGAAGCCAUUAGUUGAGUGGUGGUGAUGGCGAAGGAUACUAGUUUCAAGAUGUGUCAAAAACAGAAAUAACACCAUUCGUUUUUCUUUGUUUGUUUUGUAAUUCGUGAGAGAUUUUCCUCGCAUAUUACUAAUGGUUUCCUAUCGCCUUCUUGCUAAAGAACCAUCUAGAUUUGCUGUCGAAAGUCCCAAUUUUCGCAGCAAAACAGACUUUAAGCUGCCUCACUUUUUUUUUUUUUUUUUCAAUUGCCCGUCAAUUAAGCAGGAUGUCCUUUUUUUUGUGGGUAUGUUGUGUAGGAAUGUCCUAGGAAUAAUGUACAAGAAACCGGAUACGAUGAAUAGUCGCCGACAAUGAAAUGACUCGGAUGGACAACAGUCGUUUCUAUUGGCUAUUCAAUGUGAUGCGGUAAAAAAAAAGAAACAAAAAUCGUGCUCAUGAAAGUACAGGAAUACAGGUGUGUAGUCCAGUACAAAAGCUACGUGUA
rnacentral:misc_RNA from 1 species